rnacentral:lncRNA from 1 species
CCAUUGAAAUUCCAGAUGGAUUGGGGGAUAAACUUAGUAGAUUGAAACUUCUGUUUAUUAGUACUGGCAAAAUUUCUCCCAUUACGAUAAAUCUAGCACAGAAUCAGAGUACAGAGCUCUGGCACUGGGUACAACUGAGGUUUUGUGGAUUCAAGCCUUACUUACUGAAUUAAAGUUUAAAACGGAAACAACUCCAGUUAUGUGGUGUGACAAUCAGAGUGCUAUAUCGUUGGCUACUAAUCCAGUUUACCAUGCAAAGACCAAACACAUUGAGCUUGAUAUUCAUUUUAUUAGGGAGAAAAUUGCAGCAAAACAAAUUUCAAUCAGCUUUGUUCCCAGUGAGGAUCAAACAUCUGAUGUUCUUACUAAAGCUCUGACAUAUGGCCAAUUUCAGUAUCUUAGAUCCAAGCUGAAUGUUCUUCCUGGACCAUUCAGCUUGAGGGGGGAUGUCAGCAUAUGUGCUGAAACAGAGCUAUAGCGUGGGCUUACUAGAAGCAACUAGAUGCACACACAACAGAUACUUCCUCAUGCUGAGCUGGCAGAAUUCUAGUAGCUUCAAUUAGUUAUUCCAGCUGCUAUAUAAACUGUAGUGAACAUUCAUUUCGUGUGUGUAACAAUAAUAAAAGAUCGAGAUUCUUCUUCAAACUUUCCUCUCGUUUUCUUGUUAUUUUCUUACUUAACAAACACAUUCUUUUACAUUUUCUCACAUGGGCAGUGGAAGAAGGCCUAGAACAAUAUAGAGGAAUUUCUUUGGUGGGAAAUGAAAUAGUAGAGCUUCCUAGCGGUUUGGUAUGCCCUAGCCUUCAUAUUUUACGACUGGAGAAUACUCUAGAUGGCAAAAAAUUGCGAGUUCCAGAAUUUUUUUUAAAGAGAUGUCAGCACUGAAAGUUGUUACUAUAAUAGGUGGAGUCCUUUCAGUUAAAUCACUUCAAUUCCUCGCCAAUAACCUUCGAGUUCUACAGUUGAUUUGAUGUGAGGUGACUGACGCGUCUUUCCUUGGAAAGUUGAAGAGACUUUAAAUACUUUAUCUCGAGGAGUCUCCCAUUGAAAUUCCAGAUGGAUUGGGGGAUAAACUUAGUAGAUUGAAACUUCUGUUUAUUAGUACUGGCAAAAUUUCUCCCAUUACGAUAAAUAAAUUUCCUCAAUUAGAAGAAUUUUAUGGUUGGAUAAAAAAUUGGGAGGUUGAAGGGAUGAGUUCAGAAGAAAGUUACGCUAGGUGUGCUGAGUCGGACUCCCAACCCGACGGAUCUGUUGUAUGUCUUCCAAAUGACUUUUCAUUUCCGAAAUUACAAAGGUAUGGCAUCGCGGAAUUUGGCACUUUAUAUGACUGUGAUAGAUGGAGAAAGAUCUUAGACGCUUUAUGUGACAUUGAUAGAGGGACAAGGUGCUUAAUCAUUGAGAAUAACCGUCCUAAAGCGACGCUAGGAAUUUUUUCAGCACUGUAUCAAAAUCUGGAAAUUCUUUAUUUAAGUGGGGUAACAAGUUGUCAUAAUAUUGUGCCAAGCAUAGAUGAACGAGGCUUAAAUGAGUUGACUCCUCUUGAUGUCGGCGGUUGCGAAGAUUUAGAAUGCAUAAUGGAUGCCUCUAAGUCGCCGCAUGGAAAGAGUGGGAAUCCUGUGAUGCUCUCAAGAUUAGUAGAGUUAUAUAUGAGGGGAUUACCAGAACUGAAGUGGAUAUGGAAGGCGCCCGGCCAACAUGUGAUCAACCUCCAAUCUCUUACAUAAUUAAAAGUGUCACGGUGCAACAAUUUGACAUAUAUCUUCACGUUGUCACAAGCUCGAAGUUUGGUGCAGCUUAAAAGUCUGAAAGUGAGUUACUGUGAGAGACUGGAAUGUAUCGUUGAAGCAAAAUUUGAUCAUAAUGAGAGGUAAAUAAGUGUAGGAGAUGGAAAUACAAUACUUGGGCUCCCUUCGUUGAGAAAAUUAAGAUUUAAAGAUCUCCCCGAACUCAUCAGCUUCUGUUCAAAAAAUUAUUAUUCAACUUGGCCGGCAUUGGAAGAGUUAGAUGUAAGGAGAUGUCCUAAAUUGACCGUCAACAGUACUGAACUUGAAGCCAAUUUGCAGUAUCUUGGAGAGGUAUGUUCGCUUGUGUUUACGUUUUUUUCUUUCUUUUCCUUUAAUUUUACUCAAAAAGAUAGUUUAUCAAAAACUUUUGUGAUCAGUCAUUCAUAUCACCUUGCAUUUGGCGUGUUGAGAUGAAGAUGACGGUGGUGGUAGUGGUGAUGAUAAUAAUAACGAUCCAGUAUCUUGAGCAAAUUUCUUUGUUUUAGGGCCUAAAAUUCAUUUUUUAAAUAAAAUUCAUAUCUCGUUUUACUUUAUAAUAAAAAAAUGGAUGCAAGGACUUGUAAAGUAUGUAUAUUAUUAGUCAAAUUCAAUUCAUUAGUUAAUUUUACCAUAGAAAUACUAUACUAAUUUUUCUCAAACAAAACGAUGUCACUAUUAUAUCACUUCACAUGAUCUCUUUCAACGGAUUUCUUUUUCUUUUUUAUAAAUUCCUUACUUUCACAAAGUAUAAUUAUUUUAUAAGUUUACAUGUGUAGUAUUAUAUUUUUGU